GGCUCAGACGAAACGUUGGCGGCGUGGAUUAGGCAUGCAAGUCGAACGAAUACCUGGGGGCUUGCUUCCAGGUGAAAGUGGCGAAAGGGGCAGUAAGGCGUGGGUAACGUACCCCCUGGACCGGAAUAGCCUUGGGAAACUAAGGGUAAUGCCGGGCGAUGUAGCGAUGGGGCAUCUUGUUGCUACCAAAUGAAUUUCGCCGGGGGAGCGGCUCACGUGGUAUUAGCUAGUUGGUAGGGUAAUGGCCUACCAAGGCUGAGAUGCCUAGCAGGUGUGAGAGCACGACCUGCGCCACUGGCACUGAGACACUGGCCAGACACCUACGGGUGGCUGCAGUCGAGGAUCUUCGGCAAUGGGCGCAAGCCUGACCGAGCGACGCCGCGUGUGCGAUGAAGGCCUUCGGGUUGUAAAGCACUGUCGAGGGGGAGGAAAGCCCGUAAGGGUCUGACUAAUCCCUGGAGGAAGGACGGGCUAAGUUCGUGCCAGCAGCCGCGGUAAGACGAACCGUCCUAACGUUGUUCGGAAUCACUGGGCUUAAAGGGCGCGUAGGCGGAUGAGCAAGUCCGGGGUGAAAUCUUUCGGCUUAACCGGAAAAGUGCCUUGGAUACUGCUUGUCUUGAGGGAGGUAGGGGCAUGUGGAACUUCUGGUGGAGCGGUGAAAUGCGUUGAUAUCAGAAGGAACGCCGGUGGCGAAAGCGACGUGCUGGCCCUCUUCUGACGCUGAGGCGCGAAAGCUAGGGGAGCAAACGGGAUUAGAUACCCCGGUAGUCCUAGCCCUAAACGAUGGGUACUAGGUUGUGGACUUAACAUGGGUUCACAGCCGAAGCAAAAGUGUUAAGUACCCCGCCUGGGGAAUAUGGUCGCA
rnacentral:rRNA from 1 species